rfam:Myotis brandtii contig309971, whole genome shotgun sequence.
GAGACACCCUUAUGGGGCAGGACUUGCUUCAGUGGGGCUUUGUUGCUCACCGAGUCUGCCUCUUGAGUGUGUCACU